rnacentral:rRNA from 1 species
AGAGUUUGAUCAUGGCUCAGGAUGAACGCUGGCGGCGUGCUUAACACAUGCAAGUCGAACGAGCGGUUCCCUUCGGGGGACAGCGAGUGGCGGACGGGUGAGUAACGCGUGGGUAACCUGCCCCAUACAGGGGGAUAACAGCUGGAAACGGCUGAUAAUACCGCAUAAGCGCACAGUACCGCAUGGUACGGUGUGAAAAGCCCCGGCGGUAUGGGAUGGGCCCGCGUCUGAUUAGCCAGUUGGCGGGGUAACGGCCCACCAAAGCGACGAUCAGUAGCCGACUUGAGAGAGUGACCGGCCACAUUGGGACUGAGACACGGCCCAAACUCCUACGGGAGGCAGCAGUGGGGAAUAUUGCACAAUGGGGGAAACCCUGAUGCAGCGACGCCGCGUGAGUGUGGAAGUAUUUCGGUAUGUAAAGCUCUAUCAGCAGGGAAGAAAUGACGGUACCUGACUAAGAAGCCCCGGCUAAAUACGUGCCAGCAGCCGCGGUAAUACGUAUGGGGCAAGCGUUAUCCGGAUUUACUGGGUGUAAAGGGAGCGCAGGCGGCGAGGCAAGUCAGAAGUGAAAACCCGGGGCUCAACCCCGCGGAUUGCUUUUGAAACUGCCCGGCUGGAGUGCAGGAGGGGCAAGCGGAACUCCUAGUGUAGCGGUGAAAUGCGUAGAUAUUAGGAAGAACACCGGUGGCGAAGGCGGCUUGCUGGACUGUAACUGACGCUGAGGCUCGAAGGCGUGGGGAGCAAACAGGAUUAGAUACCCUGGUAGUCCACGCAGUAAACGAUGAAUACCAGUGUCGGUG